GACGGACGCUGGCGGCGUGCUUAACACAUGCAAGUCGAACGGAAAGGCCCCAGCUUGCUGGGGUACUCGAGUGGCGAACGGGUGAGUAACACGCGGGUGAUCUGCCCUGCACUCUGGGAUAAGCCUGGGAAACUGGGUCUAAUACCGGAUAGGACCGUGCUUUAGUGUGUGCGGUGGAAAGUUUUUCGGUGCAGGAUGAGCCCGCGGCCUAUCAGCUUGUUGGUGGGGUAAUGGCCUACCAAGGCGGCGACGGGUAGCCGGCCUGAGAGGGUGUACGGCCACAUUGGGACUGAGACACGGCCCAGACUCCUACGGGAGGCAGCAGUGGGGAAUAUUGCACAAUGGGCGCGAGCCUGAUGCAGCGGCGCCGCGUGGGGGAUGACGGCCUUCGGGUUGUAAACCCCUUUCGGCAGGGACGAAGCUUUUGUGACGGUACCUGCAUAGGAAGCACCGGCUAACUACGUG
rnacentral:rRNA from 1 species